rnacentral:rRNA from 1 species
AUUGAACGCUGGCGGCAUGCCUUACACAUGCAAGUCGAACGGCAGCGCGGGAGCAAUCCUGGCGGCGAGUGGCGAACGGGUGAGUAAUACAUCGGAACGUGCCCAAUCGUGGGGGAUAACGCAGCGAAAGCUGUGCUAAUACCGCAUACGAUCUACGGAUGAAAGCCGGGGAUCGCAAGACCUUGCGCGAAUGGAGCGGCCGAUGGCAGAUUAGGUAGUUGGUGAGGUAAAGGCUCACCAAGCCUUCGAUCUGUAGCUGGUCUGAGAGGACGACCAGCCACACUGGGACUGAGACACGGCCCAGACUCCUACGGGAGGCAGCAGUGGGGAAUUUUGGACAAUGGGCGAAAGCCUGAUCCAGCCAUGCCGCGUGCAGGAUGAAGGCCUUCGGGUUGUAAACUGCUUUUGUACGGAACGAAACGGUCUUUUCUAAUAAAGAAGGCUAAUGACGGUACCGUAAGAAUAAGCACCGGCUAACUACGUG